UGGGGAAUAUUGGGCAAUGGGCGCACGCCUGACCCAGCAACGCCGCGUGAAGGAAGAAGGCCCUCGGGUUGUAAACUUCUUUUAUCAGGGACGAAGAAAGUGACUGUACCUGAUGAAUAAGCCACGGCUAACUACGUGCCAGCAGCCGCGGUAAUACGUAGGUGGCAAGCGUUAUCCGGAUUUACUGGGUGUAAAGGGCGUGUAGGCGGGAGAGCAAGUCAGACGUGAAAUUCCAGGGCUCAACCCUGGAACUGCGUUUGAAACUGUUCUUCUUGAGUGAUGGAGAGGCAGGCGGAAUUCCGUGUGUAGCGGUGAAAUGCGUAGAUAUACGGAGGAACACCAGUGGCGAAGGCGGCCUGCUGGACAUUAACUGACGCUGAGGCGCGAAAGCGUGGGGAGCAAACAGG
rnacentral:rRNA from 1 species